CCUACGGGUGGCAGCAGUGGGGAAUAUUGGGCAAUGGGCGAAACCCUUAUCCAGCGACGCCGCGUGAGGGAAGAAGGUUUUCGGAUUGUAAACCUCUGUCAGUGGGGACGAUAAUGACGUUUCCCACGCAGGAAGCCACGGAUGACUACGUCCCAGCAGCCGCGGGAAUACGCCGGUGGCGAGCGUUGGCCGGCAUUACUGGGUGGAACGUGAUCGGAGGUGGGAUGGCAAGUCAAACGUGAAAACUGUGGGCUCAACGCAUUGCCCGCUUUUGAAACUGGUAAUUUUGAGUGAAGUAGAGGAGAGCGGAAUGCCUGGUGUAGCGGUGAAAUGCGGAGAUAUUAGGAGGAACACCAGUGGCGAAGGCGGCUAGCUGGCAUUUUACUGACGCUGAGGAUCGAAAGCGUGGGGAGCAAACAGGAUUAGAUACCCGAGUAGUC
rnacentral:rRNA from 1 species